rnacentral:rRNA from 1 species
AGUCGAGAAUCUUCGGCAAUGAGCGCAAGCUUGACCGAGCGACGCCGCGUGCGGGAUGAAGGCCUUCGGGUUGUAAACCGCUUUCGGUUGGGAGGAAAUCGCUAGGGGUUCUCCCCUAGUGUUGACCUAUCUUCGGAAGAAGGACGGGCUAAGUUCGUGCCAGCAGCCGCGGUAAUACGAACCGUCCAAACGUUAUUCGGAUUCAUUGGGCUUAAAGGGUACGUAGGCGGCGCUUCAAGUCGGGUGUGAAAUCCCUCGGCUCAACCGAGGAACUGCGCCCGAUACUGGAGUGCUUGAGGGAGACAGAGGUAAGCGGAACUGAUGGUGGAGCGGUGAAAUGCGUUGAUAUCAUCAGGAACACCAGUGGCGAAAGCGGCUUACUGGGUCUCUUCUGACGCUGAGGUACGAAAGCUAGGGGAGCGAA